GAUGAACGCUGGCGGCGUGCCUAAUACAUGCAAGUCGAACGAGGUCUUCGGACCUAGUGGCGAACGGGUGAGUAACACGUUGGUACCUACCCCGAAGUGGGGAAUAACUGGCCGAAAGGUCGGCUAAUACCGCAUAUGACCGCAAGGUUAAAGCAGUAAUGCGCUUCGGGAGGGGCCUGCGUCUGAUUAGCUAGUUGGUGGGGUAACUGCCCACCAAGGCGACGAUCAGUAGCUGGAUCGAGAGGUUGACCAGCCACACUGGGACUGAGA
rnacentral:rRNA from 1 species